rnacentral:lncRNA from 1 species
CUCGUCUCUGACGAGAAAUUGAUGAUGAUUCACUGAGGAACACACGGUGGAGAAACAUAGAGAUCGUGUGGCCUCGCCGACGAUUUGAUUGGAGAGUUGGGCAAUGCAUUGAGGAGGGUGGGAGAGGGAUUUAUAGACAUAGAUCUUAGGGCCUCACUGGAGUUUGAACAGGCUUAGAACCCCUCUUCCGAUCAGACUCAG